GAUGAACGCUAGCUACAGGCUUAACACAUGCAAGUCGAGGGGAAACGGCAUUGAGUGCUUGCACUCUUUGGACGUCGACCGGCGCACGGGUGAGUAACGCGUAUCCAACCUUCCCAUUACUGUGGGAUAACCUGCCGAAAGGCAGACUAAUACCGCAUAGUCUUCGAUGACGGCAUCAGAUUUGAAGUAAAGAUUUAUCGGUAAUGGAUGGGGAUGCGCCUGAUUAGCUUGUUGGCGGGGUAACGGCCCACCAAGGCAACGAUCAGUAGGGGUUCUGAGAGGAAGGUCCCCCACAUUGGAACUGAGACACGGUCCAAACUCCUACGGGAGGCAGCAGUGAGGAAUAUUGGUCAAUGGACGGAAGUCUGAACCAGCCAAGUAGCGUGCAGGAUGACGGCCCUAUGGGUUGUAAACUGCUUUUGUAUGGGGAUAAAGUUAGGGACGUGUCCCUAUUUGCAGGUACCAUACGAAUAAGGACCGGCUAAUUCCGUGCCAGCAGCCGCGGUAAUACGGAAGGUCCAGGCGUUAUCCGGAUUUAUUGGGUUUAAAGGGAGCGUAGGCUGGAGAUUAAGUGUGUUGUGAAAUGUAGACGCUCAACGUCUGAAUUGCAGCGCAUACUGGUUUCCUUGAGUACGCACAACGUUGGCGGAAUUCGUCGUGUAGCGGUGAAAUGCUUAGAUAUGACGAAGAACUCCGAUUGCGAAGGCAGCUGACGGGAGCGCAACUGACGCUUAAGCUCGAAGGUGCGGGUAUCAAACAGG
rnacentral:rRNA from 1 species